AAUACUUAUUGGAAAUUAAUAUGGAUUAUGUUUCAAGUAGGCUUAUUUAAAUUACCUACAUACGGCGGACAAUAAUGUCGAGAACAUUCUAGAAGGUGUGAGAAAGACAAUAUUCUCAAACUUUCUCGAAUAUCCUAGAGCCUAGCUCCCUGAAUAUAUUUAUAAGAGCCCGGUGUCACCCGCCAGAGUUAGUUUGAUUUAAACAGCGAAACAAGCGAUUUCGAAACAAAAAGGAAAGAAGUUAUCUGUGAGCCUUCAUUUUAAAGUAUCACGUGUGAGUAUUUUUAAUAGUGUGUUUAAUUAAUUCUCGAUUUUGAAGCGAAGAAGAAAAAAGUUGUCUGUGAGCCUUUACUGUGAAAUAUCAAAUAAUACAAUGCCCAGACGUAAAACAGGAGGAGAUCUUGCCAGUUCUGCAACGAAAAGGCGGAAACAAAAAGAAUAUCGAAGAAAUGAAACGGAAGAAGAGCACGAAACACGUUUACAAAAUCAACGAACCAGAAUGAGCACCCUGAGAAGCAGA